rnacentral:rRNA from 1 species
CAAUAGCGUAUAUUAAAGUUGUUGCAGUUAAAAAGCUCGUAGUUGGAUUUCUGGUCGGAAGCUCCUGUCCUCUGAUGAGCGUACAAGUGCGUCCUACCAUCCUUCUGUUAACCUUUAAGGCUUUCGCGGCUUUCUAGGGGCUCAGAUAUUUUACCUUGAGAAAAUUAGAGUGUUUCAGGCAGGCUAGCGCCGGAAUACAUUAGCAUGGAAUAAUGGAAUAGGACUUUUUCCUCUUCUGUUGGUCAUGAGGCUCGAGUAAUGAUUAAUAGGGAUAGUUGGGGGCAUUAGUACUUAACUGUCAGAGGUGAAAUUCUCGGAUUUGUUAAAGACUAACUUAUGCGAAAGCAUUUGCCAAGGAUGUUUUCAUUAA